CCCUUAGAUGUUCUGGGCCGCACGCGCGCUACACUGAUGCAUUCAACGAGUCUAAAACCUGCUCUGAUAGGGGUGGGUAAUCUUUUGAAUGUGCAUCGUGAUUGGGAUAGAUGAUUGCAAUUUUUCAUCUUCAACGAGGAAUUCCUAGUAAGCGUAAGUCAUCAGCUUGCGUUGAUUACGUCCCUGCCCUUUGUACACACCGCCCGUCGCUACUACCGAUUGAAUGGCUUAGUGAGGCCUCCGGAUUGGCUUCGGGGAGCCGGCAACGGCACCUCGUGGCUGAGAAGUUGGUCAAACUUGGUCAUUUAGAGGAAGUAAAAGUCGUAACA
rnacentral:rRNA from 1 species